rnacentral:rRNA from 1 species
GACGAACGCUGGCGGCGUGCCUAAUACAUGCAAAUAGAACGCUGAAGGAGGAGCUUGCUUCUCUGGAUGAGUUGCGAACGGGUGAGUAACGCGUAGGUAACCUGCCUGGUAGCGGGGGAUAACUAUUGGAAACGAUAGCUAAUACCGCAUAAGAGUAGAUGUUGCAUGACAUUUGCUUAAAAGGUGCAAUUGCAUCACUACCAGAUGGACCUGCGUUGUAUUAGCUAGUUGGUGGGGUAACGGCUCACCAAGGCGACGAUACAUAGCCGACCUGAGAGGGUGAUCGGCCACACUGGGACUGAAACACGGCCCAGACUCCUACGGGGGGCAGCAGUAGGGAAUUUUCGGCAAUGGACGGAAGUCUGACCGAGCAACGCCGCGUGAGUGAAAAAGGUUUUCGGAUCGUAAAGCUCUGUUGUAAGAGAAAAACGGGUGUGAGAGUGAAAAGUUCACCCUGGGACGGUAUCUUACCAGAAAGGGACGGCUAACUACGU